UUAGAGUUUCUUUCUGGCUCAGGAUGAACGCUGGCGGCGUGCCUAAUACAUGCAAGUCGAACGGUAAACGCCCUUCGGGGCGUGAGAGUGGCGCACGGGUGCGUAACGCGUAUGCAACCCACCCCCUGCAGGGGUAUAGCCCGGAGAAAUCCGGAUUAACCCCCCAUGAGGAGCGGGAGAGGCAUCUCUCCCGUUUCAAAACUACGGUGGCGGGGGACGGGCAUGCGUCCCAUUAGGUAGUCGGCGGGGCAACGGCCCACCGAGCCUGUGAUGGGUAGGGGAUCUGAGAGGACGGUCCCCCACACUGGUACUGAGACACGGACCAGACUCCUACGGGAGGCAGCAGUAAGGGAUAUUGGUCAAUGGGCGGUAGCCUGAACCAGCCAUGCCGCGUGAGGGAUGAAGGCCCUACGGGUCGCAGACCUCUUUUGCCGGGGGAUAACGUGCCCAACGCGUUGGGCAGUGAAGGUACCCGGAGAAUAAGCAUCGGCUAACUCCGUGCCAGCAGCCGCGGUAAUACGGAGGAUGCGAGCGUUAUCCGGAUUUAUUGGGUUUAAAGGGUGCGCAGGCGGCGUGCUAAGUCAGCGGUGAAAGGCGACGGCUCAACCGGAGCAGUGCCGUUGAUACUGGCGUGCUUGAAUGCGGUCGAGGCCGGCGGAAUGUGGCGUGUAGCGGUGAAAUGCAUAGAUAUCGCACAGAACGCCGAUCGCGGAGGCAGGUCACCAAGCCGCAACUGACGCUGAGGCACGAAAGCGCGGGGAUCGAACAGGAUUAGAUACCCUGGUAGUCCGCGCAGUAAACGAUGGACGCUCGCCGUUCGGCAUAGCGCCGAGUGGCCAAGCGAAAGCGAUAAGCGUCCCACCUGGGGAGUACGCCGGCAACGGUGAAACUCAAAGGAAUUGACGGGGGCCCGCACAAGCGGAGGAACAUGUGGUUUAAUUCGAUGAUACGCGAGGAACCUUACCCGGGCUUGAAAGUUAGCGACGGACCUGGAAACAGGUCUUCCCUUCGGGGCGCGAAACUAGGUGCUGCAUGGUUGUCGUCAGCUCGUGCCGUGAGGUGUCGGCUUAAGUGCCAUAACGAGCGCAACCCCUGCCGCCAGUUGCCAGCGAGUUAAGUUGGGGACUCUGGCGGGACUGCCACCGCAAGGUGCGAGGAAGGCGGGGAUGACGUCAAAUCAGCACGGCCCUUACGUCCGGGGCGACACACGUGUUACAAUGGGGGGUACAGAGGGCAGCGACCUGGCGACAGGGAGCGAAUCUCAGAAAGCCCCUCUCAGUUCGGAUCGGAGUCUGCAACUCGACUCCGUGAAGCUGGAUUCGCUAGUAAUCGCGCAUCAGCCAUGGCGCGGUGAAUACGUUCCCGGGCCUUGUACUCACCGCCCGUCAAG
rnacentral:rRNA from 1 species